AUCGUUUCUCGGCCUUUUGGCUAAGAUCAAGUGUA
rnacentral:snRNA from 1 species